UGACUCAGAUGGUAAAGUGUCUGCCUGCAGUGCAGGAGACCCGGGUUCAAUCCCUGG
rnacentral:tRNA from 1 species